UGUAAGUCAGAAAAAACAUGGCUCAGUGGUAGGGCAUCUACCUUGCAUGCAGAAGGUCCCAGGUUUGAUCUCAGCAUCUUCAA